rnacentral:rRNA from 1 species
UACGGAGGAUCCAAGCGUUAUCCGGAUUCAUUGGGUUUAAAGGGUGCGUAGGCGGAAUGAUAAGUCAGUGGUGAAAGCCUACAGCUUAACUGUAGAAUUGCCGUUGAUACUGUCAAUCUUGAGUGCAGUUGAUGUGGGCGGAAUAUGACAUGUAGCGGUGAAAUGCAUAGAUAUGUCAUAGAACACCGAUUGCGAAGGCAGCUCACAAAACUGUAACUGACGCUGAGGCACGAAAGCGUGGGGAUCGAACAGGAUUAGAAACCCCGGUAGUCC